rnacentral:rRNA from 1 species
UACGUAGGUGGCAAGCGUUGUCCGGAAUUAUUGGGCGUAAAGAGCGUGUAGGCGGCCUAGUAGGUCAGCUGUGAAAACUCGAGGCUCAACCUCGAGCUGUCGGUUGAAACCACUAGGCUAGAGUCCGGAAGAGGAGAAUGGAAUUCCCGGUGUAGCGGUGAAAUGCGCAGAUAUCGGGAAGAACACCCGUGGCGAAGGCGGUUCUCUGGGACGGUACUGACGCUGAGACGCGAAAGCGUGGGGAGCGAACAGG